CUACAAGAUACUGAAUCAGGCUUAGAUUUUUAAUUAUCGAACCCAUUUAACUACUGUUUUAUUUUCUGUGUGGGGGAAAAAAUUAGUAGUGUUCCAAAUUGCCAUAACAACAGGCUGCACUCCUUAAAACAAGAUAAGCUGUGUGUCAAAGUAAAACUGUUGCCAUGGUAACCAGCUGAAUAUUUAAAGUGCAGCAUCCUGGUUUAAUCAGUCAAAUUGUCCCUUUUCCAGAAAUCAACUACAUCAACAUUCUUCCAGCAGAAACAGUGAAAAAAAGGAAAAACAGAAGUUAAUAAAAAAUAAUUUCUGCCCUGUAUGUUUCCUUUCUGAGUGAUUUUGUUUCAGGAGAGUGUCUUAAAAUGCUUCUUUAUAACAAGAUUGCAAACACUGGAUCCUGUAUUUUAUCCUAGAAUUCUCAGAAAUUCUCUCAUCUGUUCAAGAUAUGCUUUCUCUUAACAGCCUUACUGAAAAAGAAAAAGCAGGACUUUGGUGAGGAUUUGCCAUUUCCUGAUGCAGUACCUCUAUGCGAGGUAGCAUGCAUCCUGCUACAACUUUCACUCCAAGCAGAGCCUGACCCAGGAGUGUUGCAGUGGGUAAUAUUCUUGUGGCAUGUGUAAGAAGGCGUUUUCUGCUGUACUGAUGCAGUUUCAUGAUGCAGCGCUCGCAGAGAGGAGGACCUGGCUGCAGAGAGAUCUCUGCCACGUGCCGGAUCUGCAGAUGCAUUGGGAACGUCUGCCUGUGUAAACACAGAUGCUAUUUUGCAAA
rnacentral:lncRNA from 1 species